UGAGGAAUAUUGGUCAAUGGGCGAGAGCCUGAACCAGCCAAGUCGCGUGAAGGAAGAAGGAUCUAUGGUUCGUAAACUUCUUUUGCAGGGGAAUAAAGUGCAGGACGUGUCCUGUUUUGUAUGUACCCUGAGAAUAAGGAUCGGCUAACUCCGUGCCGGCAGCCGCGGUAAUACGGAGGAUCCGAGCGUUAUCCGGAUUUAUUGGGUUUAAAGGGUGCGUAGGUGGUUUGAUAAGUCAGCGGUGAAAGUUUGCAGCUUAACUGUAAAAAUGCCGUUGAAACUGUCGGACUUGAGUGUAAAUGAGGUAGGCGGAAUGCGUGGUGUAGCGGUGAAAUGCAUAGAUAUCACGCAGAACUCCGAUUGCGAAGGCAGCUUACUAAGCUACAACUGACACUGAAGCACGAAAGCGUGGGGAUCAAACA
rnacentral:rRNA from 1 species